GGGACCUUGGCGCAGUUGGUUAGCGCGCAGGUCUCAUAGCUUCCUAUCUAUCUGUUAUCCACAUGACAUAAAGAUAGUCUAUGAUCUGGUGAGAAUACCAGAGUCAUCCUGAGUUCGAUCCUCACAGGUCCCA